rnacentral:lncRNA from 1 species
UCAUAAGCACCUAGUCAACUACUUUGCAACAGAUAGACAUUAACGAUCGUGAACAUAACAUGAAGUCAAUGGAAGAAUUAUAGGCAUAAAUAUUGCACGGAGCAAAACAAAAUAACUAAAUAACAUUGCCAUAAUUGUUUAGCAUAAACUUUAAGACAAAUAACUAAAUACAGUAACAUGCAUGUUAAAUAUUAUACCUAAUCAAGUUCAAGCAUAAUUCAAACAUAGAAAUUGAUCAAACUUAGAUCAAACCAUAAAAUGAACAUCAAGAAUU